GACGAACGCUGGCGGCGCGCCUAACACAUGCAAGUCGAACGAGAGAUGAGGAGCUUGCUCUUCAAAUCGAGUGGCGAACGGGUGAGUAACGCGUGAGGAACCUGCCUCAAAGAGGGGGACAACAGUUGGAAACGACUGCUAAUACCGCAUAAGCCCACGGCUCGGCAUCGAGCAGAGGGAAAAGGAGUGAUCCGCUUUGAGAUGGCCUCGCGUCCGAUUAGCUAGUUGGUGAGGUAACGGCCCACCAAGGCGACGAUCGGUAGCCGGACUGAGAGGAUGAACGGCCACAUUGGGACUGAGAUACGGCCCAGACUCCUACGGGAGGCAGCAGUGGGGAAUAUUGCACAAUGGGGGAAACCCUGAUGCAGCGACGCCGCGUGAGUGAGGAAGUAUUUCGGUAUGUAAAACUCUAUCAGCAGGGAAGAUAAAUGACGGUACCUGACUAAGAAGCACCGGCUAAAUACGUGCCAGCAGCCGC
rnacentral:rRNA from 1 species